rnacentral:rRNA from 1 species
GACGAACGCUGGCGGCGUGCCUAAUACAUGCAAGUUGAGCGCUGAAGGUUGGUACUUGUACCGACUGGAUGAGCAGCGAACGGGUGAGUAACGCGUGGGGAAUCUGCCUUUGAGCGGGGGACAACAUUUGGAAACGAAUGCUAAUACCGCAUAAAAACUUUAAACACAAGUUUUAAGUUUGAAAGAUGCAAUUGCAUCACUCAAAGAUGAUCCCGCGUUGUAUUAGCUAGUUGGUGAGGUAAAGGCUCACCAAGGCGAUGAUACAUAGCCGACCUGAGAGGGUGAUCGGCCACAUUGGGACUGAGACACGGCCCAAACUCCUACGGGAGGCAGCAGUAGGGAAUCUUCGGCAAUGGACGAAAGUCUGACCGAGCAACGCCGCGUGAGUGAAGAAGGUUUUCGGAUCGUAAAACUCUGUUGGUAGAGAAGAACGUUGGUGAGAGUGGAAAGCUCAUCAAGUGACGGUAACUACCCAGAAAGGGACGGCUAACUACAUG